GAGAGAGAGAGAGAGAGAGAGAGAGAGAGUGUGGAAAGAGGGUGAUUUUGAAGGGAAACAAAGAAAAGGGAAGAUUGAUGCAAAGAUUUGGGCUUACACAACUUGGAUUUCAAGAUCUUCACAAGAUUAAGAUUUGAGCUUGGUUUGAGAUUUGGUGUUGGAUAAGAAGGGAUUAAGCAAGGGUUUGACGAAUUGGCUAAGGUGAUAUAGGUACUAGCGCUAGUGCUCCGACUACGGAUCAGCAGGGAGGAGCGUGACGCGGAUGGCCUGGACUUGUGGUGGUUUGUUGUUUGAUUUUUGUGUGGUGUUUGGUUAAUCUUUGGCUUAAUUGUAUAUUGGGAUAUAUACAAGUAUGUAAUGUGUGGGAUGAAUGAUGAUUUUGGAUGGUGAGGCUUAAUGCCUUGGUAUGUAUGUGCGUAUGAAGAUUUAUGAUUGGGAUGAUAUGGCCUGAGGCCCUGGAUGUUUAGUUUGGUGGUAUGGAAAUUGUUGGUUUAAAUUGCUAUAUGUUGUGCAGGAGGCAUUCUCCGAUAUACGGGGAGGUGCUGCCGAAUUUUUGUUUAACAUUGUGUUGGUUUAAUGGUGAGUAAACGGUAUUUGAGUCCUUGUUUUGGGU